CCCCUAGAUGUUCUGGGCCGCACGCGCGCUACACUGAACAGUUCAACAAGUCUUAACCUUGGCCGAUAGGUCUGGGUAAUCUUUGAACGCUGUUCGUGAUUGGGAUAGACCUUUGCAAUUAUGGGUCUUCAACGAGGAAUUCCUAGUAAACGCAAGUCAUCAGCUUGCAUUGAUUACGUCCCUGCCCUUUGUACACACCGCCCGUCGCACCUACCGAUUGAAUGGUCCGGUGAAAUCUCGGGACGGCGGCUUGGUCGCUUGCGUCCGACUGCUGAAACUUGAUUAAACCAUAUCAUUUAGAGGAAGGAGAANUCGUANCA
rnacentral:rRNA from 1 species